rnacentral:tRNA from 1 species
GGCUGCGUAGCUCAGUUGGUUAGAGCACCACCUUGACAUGGUGGGGGUCGGUGGUUCGAAUCCACUCGCGACUACCA